rnacentral:rRNA from 1 species
GAAGCUGGAAUCGCUAGUAAUCGCGAAUCAGAAUGUCGCGGUGAAUACGUUCCCGGGUCUUGUACACACCGCCCGUCACACCAUGGGAGUCGGAAAUGCCCGAAGUCAGUGACCCAACCGUAAGGAGGGAGCUGCCGAAGGUGGAGCCGGUAACUGGGGUGAAGUCGUAACAAGGUACC